AUACUGUCCGACGAUGCGGGUGUCCCCUUCCUCCCUCACUGAUCCAUGUGCGUCCCUCCUGAAGCUGCGCGCUCGGUCGAAGAGGACGACCUUCCCAACUAGAGGAGAGGACCGGUCUUCGGUCAAGGGUAUACGAGUAGCUGCGCUCCCCUGCUAGAACCUCCAAACAAG